rnacentral:rRNA from 1 species
UUUCUUGUGCCUAAAAUUUCAGUGAAUACUGACGGUAGUUUAGGCAGUACAAAUGGGGUGAGUGUCGGUUCAAUUGAGCACAAAAUGGGGCUAAAAGGUUCAGCAACCUGUGUGAUGAACUAUGAUAAUGCUCAAGGUUUCUUGAUUGGCGAGCCUAAUCGCGGCUUAGUAUGCAUGUUCACUAUGAUGAACUACGAGCGUUUAGCUAUCGGUAUCCAAGGCUUAGGCAGCGCACAAGCAGCUUAUCAAAUGGCGGCCGAUUAUGCGAAAGAACGUCAUCAAGGCAUCGCCGCUGGCGGCUCACCCACUGGAAGUGAAUCUGAUCCUAUCAUUGUUCACGGUGAUGUGCGUCGUAUGUUGUUGACUAUUCGUGCGAUGACUGAAGCGGGUCGCGCUUUGUCUGUGUUUACUGGACAACAAUUGGAUUUAGCCAAAUAUGGCCAAGAUGAAGUGAAGGCCAAAGCGGCUCGCUAUGUUGGUCUAUUAACCCCAGUGGCUAAGGCAUUUUUAACCGAUCGCGGUUUAGAUGCAACGAUCAUGGCGCAGCAAGUCUUUGGUGGUCAUGGUUAUAUUCGUGAGACAGGUAUUGAACAAUUAGUACGAGAUACUCGUAUUGCACAGAUUUAUGAAGGCACCAACGGUAUUCAAGCGAUUGACUUUCUUGGUCGUAAAGUGACUGGAGACAACUUAGCCGCGUUAAAUGAGUUUGUCGCCGAUCUCAAAGCACAAAUGCGCGCAUUUUCCCAUGUAGAUGCUGUGAAAGUGGCUGCCGUGUGUGCUCGUUUAGAUGCGCUUGCCAUUGUUGCCGAAACCAUUAAUGGACAAAAAGUGGCCCAGCCAGCCCUGAUCAACGCGAGUGCUGUCGACUUUUUAGAUGCCUUUGGUUAUACACUCUAUGGUUUUUAUUGGUUAGCAAUGGUCGAUAAAGUUGCUAACCAUGAAGAUACUGCUUUUGCACAGCAGAAAACCUAUCUGGCUAAAUUCUAUUUUGAUAAGUUAUUGCCGAAAGCAGAUUAUCAUUUAGCACAGGUUCGUGCAGGUGAUACCAGCACAAUGGUAAUGCCUGCGGAUUUCUUUUAGCGCUAAUUAUACUUACGCUUAUUAAUUAAAAAGCACUGAAUAUUCAGUGCUUUUUAAUUAAUAAUUACUCAGGGGUAAUCUUGGAAUGAGCUUGAAUCGUAUCAGUCUCCGUUAGAGAUGCUUUGACUUCUAGCUUUGUCAUCAAUUGAGUUAAAAAGUCUGCGCUAAAAGGGGGCUUAUUUUGCUUUUUAAGCGCUGGGCUGAUGCCAUUUUCGAGUACAACAAACAAUAUAUCCUUAUGCUGUGGUAAUCGCAUAAAUCCUGCUAGGUUUGCGAUACCUUGCAUCGAGCCUGUUUUGGCAAAAAUCAGGUUUUUCAAUGGUGGUUUAGUGAAACCUGUUCGGUAUUUUAGUGUACCACUGACCCCAGAUUGGGGCAGACUGUUCAUUAAUUCUCUAAAGCGAUCAUCUUCAUAAAUUAACUUCAAUACUGAUGCUAACUGAUUAACACUCAAUAGGUUAUAUCGUGAAAGUCCAGAACCAUCGACAAUACUUGCAUUCGUUAAAUCAAUCCCUAAAUCGGUGAGAAUACGGCGCAUUGCAGCCGCACCAUGGGUGAAACUUCCCUGUGUACGGUAAUAGCUCUUUCCUAUUUGCUUGAACAAGCUAUCAGCAAUUAAGUUAUCCGAUUUAAGUAACAUUGUUUUGAGUAGUUCAGGUAAUGGCUGUGAGCUAUGGCUCGCAAUCAGUUUGGCUUUUUUAGGGAUGCUAUUGCCUAUGCGUACUUUACCCGAAAGUGGUGUUUCGGCUUUGAGUAUGGCUGUUAGGGUGUCUUGCGCAAACUGAGCUGGAUCAGUUACUGCAAUUGCGAGAGGUAUGGCUUCAGAUCCUGGAUAACAUCCUCGUAAGUGGUAGUUGUUUUGCCCUAAACGGACGAGAUCAAGCUGACAGAAAUCGCGAUUGGCUUGUCGAUCGAAUACGGCGUCACUAUUGACCUUUACCCCAUAACUGGUGGCGCGUAACACAACCUUUGAGGGCUCUUUUUCAUUGCUUGGGAUGAACUGACCGAAAACACAAUUUUGGUUGAUGAUGUAGCUCGACACAGGGGCUGCAUAGCAGAUGCCUAAAUCAUCCCAAACCCAACCCGGUGCUUGCAAUUGUUCUUGUUUAUCCCCAAUAAGAUACAAAUGACCAUCAAUGCCAUUAAUGCCUUGUUUCACUAAACUGGCAAAGAGGGCUUUUAAAUCCAAUUGUGUCAGGGUUGGAUCACCACUAAAACGUAAAUAAACACUCCCUGCAAUGUGGCCAUUACGGAGUGGUGCAUCGGUCCAUAAUUCAGUGACAUAACGAAACUCAGUCCCAAGUUCUGCCAUGGCGGUGACUGCUGUGAGAAUUUUUGUGUGCUGGCAGGAACCAACAGGGUAUCCGCCUGUUGACUAUAGAGAAUCUGAUUGUUCGCUAAAUCCAAUGCUAAUAAUGCGGUUUGUGAAUGUCGUGGGUUAAUAUCGGCGAUACUUUGGCUGAGUGUUGUAGUUCUAAGCUCAAUGCUGGGGAUAUUUGCUUGUGUAGCCUUAGUGCUUAUUGAGAAAAAACUCAAUAUUAACCCUAUGUAACACGUUGUUUUAGAUAACAUAUCCAUGUUAAUACUCAAUCAUGUUGCUCGGUUAGCGUUCAUUACUGCCAUCAUCUUUCUCCAUUAGACGAUAAAGCCUUAAGGUGACAAAAAGCACUAAUCCAAUAAAUAAUGGCAGGAUUAAUAAUCCAAGUUGAGUCUUAAAAUGGAAAAUUCCCCAAGCGAAGAGUAAUGUCAGCGCAAGGGUUAGCAAAAUUUUUUUGUUCAUAGUCUUUAUUUACUUAGUGCAAAGAGGU